rnacentral:lncRNA from 1 species
UGGAUUUUGAAAUCAAUGAAUUAUGACAUCAUCAGUUGAGAACACUAAAUGCAGAACCACAUGGAGCACAUGCUAUCUCUCAAUUCAAAGAGAAUCUGUUUAAUGCAAUGUAGUGUCCUGGACUGUAUCCUGAACAGAACAAAGAUACUAAUGAAAAACCUGGGGAAAUCCAAAUAAAAUCUGAAGUUUAGUUAAUAAUUCACAAUGAUGUUAGCUUCUUAGUGGUGAUAAACAUGCUACGGCAACAUAAGAUGCUUUCAUUUCAGGAAACCGGUAAGAACAGACUGAAUUACCUCUGAAGAAAAAAUGAAAAGACACUGCGCAAGAUUUUAAUAAAGAGAGGAAAGCAUCCAAAAAGGGCUUUCUCUGGCCUAAAGAGUCCAUUUUGCCUACUGUCAUAGGACUUGAAAAUGAUCAUUCCCCACUCCCCAGCAAGACACAAGCAGGGGGAAUCUUUCUAAAGAGAAACUCUAACAUUUAUCCCAAGGCAGAAAAGAUGAUCACCACGGCACCAAACCUCCUCCGCUGCUCUGACAAAUACAGAGCCAGCCUCAUCUGGAGCAUUUCUGCCCUGAGCUCGCUCUCAGAAGCAGACAGAGGAACACACUGCAUUUCCACUGUGCUGAUUCACUGAACCUUUUGUGCAAGUACACGGGAAUGUUUGCUUCUUAGCUUGAAACCCUUCCAGCCGUGAUGACUGUGCCUCAGCCUGCCCUUUGUCCUCGCAGCUGCUGUCACGCGUGUGACACAAGAGAACACUGAUGCAGCCCUGGCCAUCAAUGGGCAUCAAGCCAGGCACUUCAUAUGCAUCCCCUUCAUUUCAUUCUCACAACAAAUCUGUGGCAGAUGAAAGCAUCGAGGCUCCAAAAGGUUACUAAUAAUCUGUCUGUGCUCAACCCUGGGAUGGGGCAGAGACUAGGUUUCCCCAGUGUCCUCAUGCCUAGUGGCUAGCUUAGCUGGCCUCAUAGAAUUGGCUCUUCAAAAACUCUUUGAUUAAAGUUUUUCUUCCCUAAAGAUUUCAACCGCAAUAUGCGAUAUGGUUACUCUAUAUGCUAGUUCUCCCUCAGACCCUCCCAGUGUUAUUUUCUCAAUUAACACUGAAAACAUAAACUCCAUGAGAGCAGGGACUAUCUCUAGCAGUGCUCUAUUUUUAGCACUUGAGGGGAAGAAAGCUUGGCAGAGUAGGUAUUCAUUUGCACAUAUUCAUUAUGCAUUUGUUGAAUGAAUAAAAUAUCCGGAAAACUGGGGCUGUUAAUGACAGUCAAUUUGGAAAACAGCAUGACCUGCAGAAGACCUGAAUGAUGUACUUGUUUUGCUCAUUUUCCUCAAAUUCAGUAGGUAAUUAUUCAUCUCCUAGCCUAAGUAGCACAGGACUAACUAGGAGAUAUCCAAUAAAUCAUUUAUGUACAACUCUGUGAAGCAGCUUUAUCUGCUGGCAACAGUAAAAGUCAGGUAGUCAUGGCUUUGCCAAAAAGAAACUACAUCAUUGUGGCCCAAUUUUAUCUCUGGCCCUUUGGCUUCUUCACAGGGGAAUGUGGAGGGUUUUGAUCUCUUGAAAUUCUUUCCCCUGUCCUAUCAAUUCAGUGAUUCCCACAGACUAUCUCAGAAAUUUCCAAGAAAUGUCACUUGUGUGCAUCAAUGCCUUUCUUCCAUCCUAAAAAUCCACAGUGUGGUUUCAGUCCAGCUCUUCCUAACCCCAGCAGAAACUGGGAACAUUCCUUCCCAUUCAAAAGCACAGAGCAAUUACAAUUUGCACUGACUGGCAACUCCCUGGCAUCAGUACCAUUUCUGCAACACAAUUAUUCCACCUUCCAUUCAUGUCUGUGCCCAACUACUCUGUAUGUCCACUUAAGGAGUGACAUUUGAAACUGUCAAACUGUUGCCUCCACGUGGUGUUGGAGUGCCUGAGGAAUUAGAUUUAAAGCAGAUAACUAACAUGAAUAUCAGAAGUGAAGAUGUUGAAGAAUUAAGCAAGCAUAGAAAUCAAGAAAACAAAUUCACAUUACAGACAAAUUUAAGUGUAAGUAAAGGAGAACCAAGACAUAGGCAAGAAGAAAAAUGCACACUACACACUAUGAUGGGCUUCAAUUCCUGAAACUGGAUAAUCUACUAUAACACAAAACUCUUGAAGAAAAAGCAAUUUUUUUCCUUGACUCAGUGUUCUACAUAACAGCAUUCCUUUUCUAUCAAGAAAAAUAUACUUCCAUCACUGCAAUGAAUAUGCAUGACUAUUUUACAUAGUAAGCAUGCAAUAAAUACUUCUUGAAUUAAUGAAUAAAUUUUCCCUGUCUAAUGUCUGCUGUGAAUUUUAAAGAUCUUAAAAAGGAAGGAGGGAGGAGACAAUGCUGUAUUUGUUUAUUUGAUGAGUAUCCAAUAUAUCACCAUUAAUUAGUGCUUUAAAAUGGCAAUCCUGACCUCAAUUAGUGUUUUUCCAAUAAAAUUAUUUACUAUUAUAAUACAGACAGUCUUUAAAAGUUAGAUCAUGGCAGACACUCGAAAACUUGUUUUUAAAAAGGUAAAGAAAUUUAACACAAACCACCAAGAAUCUUUUAGCCAGUAGCUAUUACCAAUAUUCUUUACUAAUCAGAAUUUUUCUUUUCUUUCUUUUUUUUUUUGAGACGGAGUUUCACUA